AUGGAGCUCCUCAGCGCCAAGCAGGUAAGGCGUAUGGAGGGCAUCAGGUCCGAGGAAGUCCGCAACCUCCUUAGUUCCAUCACCGCCUCGACUAGCACCAUUGUCAACCUCACAGAGAAGUUAUCGGCACUGAUGAACGAUGUCAUUGCAUGGGCGGUGUUCGGAGGCAAGUGUGCACAACAAGGUGAGUACCUCCGGGAAUUGGAAGAAGUCACCGCGUUGGUGGGAGGCUUCUCGCUCGUCGACCUAUUCCCAUCGUCGCGGCUAGUGUGGCUGCUGAGCUCCGGUGAGCGACGGAUGAGGAGGAGCUAUGGCCGAAUCCAGCGCAUCAUCUCCGACAUCAUUGAGCAACGUAAGGACAUGCGCGAUGCAGUCAGCUCCAACGACGAGGAGGACUUGCUAGACGUGUUGCUUAGGCUGCACAUGGAAGACUCCUUGUCGUAUCCUCUAACUUUAGAGGCAAUAGGUGACAUCAUCUUUGACUUGUUCGCGGGUGGCACUGAGACCUCUGGAAUAACAUUGGAGUGGGCUAUGUCCGAGCUCUUAAAUAAUCCCGAAACUAUGAGAAAGGCACAGCUAGAGGUUCGACAAGUGGUAGGUCAGCAACAAUCUGUCAUAACUAACAAUGACCUUCGUGACCUCCACUACAUGAGAAUGGUGAUCAAGGAGGUCUUGAGGUUGCACCCUCCCGCUCCUAUACUCCCCCGAAGGGCAAGAGAAGACUGUGAAAUCAUGGGAUAUAAAAUUUCUGAAGGCACCAACGUACAGGUUAAUAUAUUCGCGAUAUGUCGGGAUUGCAGAUAUUGGGAUGCCCCCGAUACAUUUAAGCCAGAGAGGUUCAAAGAGAGCAGCAUAGAUUACAAGGGGACACAUUUUGAGAUCACACCUUUCGGGGCCGGGAGACGUCAGUGUCCUGGUAUGUUGUUUGGCACAUCAACCGUGGAGAUUGCAUUGGCAAACCUUCUGUACCACUUUGACUGGGUGAACCCUGCUGAGCCCAAUCCGGGCUCGUUGGACAUGUCCCAGAAGUUCGGGAUCAAUGUACGUAGAAAGUUCGAUUUAGAGAUUAGAGCAACCUCACAUGUCCACUCCAAAGUUGCAUAG
rnacentral:rRNA from 1 species